GUCAUGUAGGCAGGAUUGUGCAGUGCAGUUAUUUUGCUGCAAUUACAAAUAAAUAACAGCUCUAAACAAUUAAUAUUCUAUCAAUUAAGUAUUAAAAUGUCAAAUCUAAAAAUACCUGAAGCAUGCUAGGUGACAUCCAUCUAACCAAACGCUUAGUAGUGAUCGCAUUAGUUCUUGGCAUUAUUUUGAUUUUGAAGGAGUACGUAUUUAUUUAUCCGAUAUGAGUAGCCGUAGGGUUGCUUAUUUCUACAAUGCGGACGUGGGGAACUUCCACUAUGGGCCGGGGCACCCUAUGAAGCCCCACAGACUUUCUGUUACGCAUAGUUUGGUGUUGAAGUACGGCCUGCAUAAGAAAAUGCAGGUAUACAAGCCGUAUAGGGCAAGUGCGCAUGACAUGUGCCGGUUUCACAGUGAGGACUACAUAGAGUUCCUGUCCAAUGUUACGCCGCAAAAUAUACAGAGCUAUUCAAAAGACUUGCUCCACUACAAUGUUGGAGACGACUGCCCAGUCUUUGACGGGCUGUUUGAUUUCUGCUCCAUGUACACAGGCGCAUCUCUAGAAGGUGCUAUGAAGCUUAACAAUAAUGCCUGUGACAUUGCCAUUAACUGGUCCGGUGGUCUUCAUCAUGCUAAGAAGUUUGAACCCUCUGGAUUCUGCUACGUAAAUGACAUAGUCAUAGCAAUAUUAGAGCUCCUAAAAUACCAUCCUAGAGUACUAUACAUUGACAUAGACGUCCACCACGGAGACGGAGUUCAGGAGGCAUUCUACCUGACUGACCGAGUGAUGACCGUCAGCUUCCAUAAGUAUGGGAACUACUUUUUCCCUGGGACCGGAGACAUGUAUGAGAUCGGGGCUGAGAGUGGGAGGUAUUACUCGGUGAAUGUGCCGCUGAAGGAAGGGAUUGAUGAUCAGAGUUAUGUUAUGGUAUUCAAACCAGUGAUUUCCAGCGUAAUGGAGUUCUACCGUCCUACGGCCAUCGUGCUACAGUGCGGUGCGGAUUCUUUGGCAGGCGACCGGUUGGGGUGCUUCUCUCUAUCUACUAAGGGCCACGGGGAGUGCGUCAACUUUGUGAAGACUUUGAACGUGCCUACGCUAGUUGUUGGUGGUGGCGGGUACACACUCCGAAACGUAGCUCGCUGUUGGACGUACGAGACCUCCCUUCUGGUUGACGAGAACAUAUCCAACGAGCUCCCUCUGACAGAAUACUUGGAACUGUUCGCGCCUGACUUCCAGCUUCAUCCAGAGAUUAGCAGUACGAACAACGCCAACAGCAAGCAAUAUUUAGAAGCUAUAACGAAGUACACGUACGACAAUCUCAGGAUGUGCAUGCACUCGCCCGCCGUCCAGAUGUCACAUGUGCCAGGCGACUUCUUCCCCGAAGACUACAAGAUCAAGGAUGAGCCGGACCCCGACAUCCGCAUCAGCCAAGAGGAGUCCGACAAGAUGGUCGAACCUAAAAACGAGUUCUACGACGGCGACACCGACCACGACAAGGAGGCCGUCGUUAAGGAGGAGCCAUAGCAGGCGGCCGCCACCGGCGACAGCGGCGCUACUUGACACACACACUAUAAGAAGAAGUUCAUCCUCCGUCCGCGACUUCGGUGGAUUAGAAGCCGUUAAACUUUCAACUCCAUUUUCACCCUCUUGGGGUCAACUCCAUUUUCACCCUCUUGGGGUUGAAUUUCUAAAUAUCCUGAUGGAGCUCUAUACAUUCAAUGGUGAAGGCUGUGGCGUUGCCUGUCAAAAACAAUGUGAACUAAGCUGUAGAUAAUUAAUAAUGGGAACUAGGUAAUAAGUAGUUAAUAAUAUUACUUAUACGAAAUUAUGAAUUAAGUAACGCAUUUACUGCUAGCGACCCUCUAGACGGCUUCUCUGUUCUUAGGUGCUUUUCGUUAGAAACGGUAAAAACUGUGUCAUUGGCUACGCCCGUAGCGCGUAGCUUGCGCUGGCAGUGAAUGUGUUAAAUAAUGUAUUUUUUUUUCUACUUUAAGCCAGGUCUCCGCUGAAACUAUUAAUUCGUAGAAUAAGCUACCACGGAGACACGGCUUGAACACGAAAUGUAGUUAAGUUGGUUUAAGUAGAAUUU